rnacentral:tRNA from 1 species
AGGAUAAUAGUUAAAUAUAACAUUUAAUUUGCAUUUAAAAAGUGCCACAUAUGGCUUAUCUUA